CGCAUUUAAAGUGAAGUAAAAAGACAAAUUUGAAAAAUAAAAUUAUUGCAAUGAGUGAAAAAAAUACAAUUGAAGAUUUGCCAGAGUUUUCUUUUUCUGAAUGUGAAAAUGAAGUGGUGGAAUUCGAAUCGACUUGGAGCUUAGAAAGAGUGUAUGACAAAGCGAUACCGAUUCCAACUCAAACCGAUCCGAUCAAUAAAACCGAGCACAAAUCAACCAAUACGCAAGAAUGCAAGCAUAAUUCGACUCAAACAGAGGCAUUACCAAGCAAGGCUCCGGUUGCAGUGAAUGAAAAGGAAUUAAUUGAAUCGAUUCGCGUGUUAUCAGCUGUUAUGGAAGCUGAAGUCAAACUCGGAACGACGAAUAUUUUCAAAUUUCAAUCAAAUUAACUACGUAUGCGAAAUCUCACCUAAGACAAAUGAUGCAAUGCCAAUGAAUUUGUGGAACAUUUUCGAGACUACGGCCAACGACAGCGAAUAUCAGCGAAAUGAGACCGGUGAUGGAGUGAGUAGUUUGGAAGUGAAAUUGUCGUGUUGAAUAAAAAACGGUGGUGCCGACAAUUGCCAUCAAGGAA